rnacentral:rRNA from 1 species
UAGCGAAGGGGGCUAGCGUUGCUCGGAAUUACUGGGCGUAAAGCGCACGUAGGCGGUCUUUUAAGUCGGGGGUGAAAUCCUGGAGCUCAACUCCAGAACUGCCUUUGAUACUGAAGAUCUUGAGUUCGGGAGAGGUGAGUGGAACUGCGAGUGUAGAGGUGAAAUUCGUAGAUAUUCGCAAGAACACCAGUGGCGAAGGCGGCUCACUGGCCCGAUACUGACGCUGAGGCACGAAAGCGUGGGGAGCAAACAGGG